GAUAAACGCUGGCGGCGCACAUAAGACAUGCAAGUCGAACGGAAGUCGUUGUAAUGAAAUGGAAAUGGACAGAGAACUUGUUCGAAGAAAGUUGAAGUAGACUUACAACAAUGGCUUUAGUGGCGGACUGGUGAGUAACGCGUAAGGAACCUGCCUUUUAGAGGGGAAUAACAAUGAGAAAUCAUUGCUAAUACCGCAUAUGCCGAGAGAAUCACAUGGUACAAUCGGGAAAGGAGCAAUCCGCUAAAAGAUGGCCUUGCGUCUGAUUAGAUAGUUGGUGGGGUAACGGCCUACCAAGUCGACGAUCAGUAGCCGGACUGAGAGGUUGAACGGCCACAUUGGGGACUGAGAUACGGCCCAGACUCCUACGGGAGGCAGCAGUCGGGAAUAUUGCGCAAUGGAGGAAACUCUGACGCAGUGACGCCGCGUAUAGGAAGAAGGUUUUCGGAUUGUAAACUAUUGUCGUUAGGGAAGAGAAAGGACAGUACCUAAGGAGGAAGCUCCGGCUAACUACG
rnacentral:rRNA from 1 species